GAUGAACGCUAGCGGCAGGCUUAAUACAUGCAAGUCGAGGGGUAGCAAGAUUGUAGCAAUACAAUUGUUGACGACCGGCAAACGGGUGCGGAACACGUACACAACCUUCCUACAAGUGGGGAAUAGCCCAGAGAAAUUUGGAUUAAUACCCCGUAACAUAGCGAUGUGGCAUCACAUUGCUAUUAUAGCUUCGGCGCUUGUUGAUGGGUGUGCGGCUGAUUAGAUAGUUGGCGGGGUAACGGCCCACCAAGUCUACGAUCAGUAGCUGAUGUGAGAGCAUGAUCAGCCACACGGGCACUGAGAAACGGGCCCGACUCCUACGGGAGGCAGCAGUAAGGAAUAUUGGACAAUGGACGCAAGUCUGAUCCAGCCAUGCCGCGUGAAGGAUUAAGGUCCUCUGGAUUGUAAACUUCUUUUAUAAGGGACGAAAAAAGGUCUUUCUAGAUCGUCUGACGGUACCUUAUGAAUAAGCACCGACUAACUCCGUGCCAGCCGCCGCCGUAAAAC
rnacentral:rRNA from 1 species